ACACCAGUUUCCAUUACCGGUGACUUUCAGAUAUUUGUUGCAAAAUUUUUAAUUUCAUGUUUUGAAUAAAGACUUUGUCAUGAGUUUCAAUGACUUUUCUCACGUGAGAUAGUGCUCAAAUGUUGUUGUUGUUAUUCGAUAGUUUAUACACGUUUUUCUUCCGUUCCAUUUUCUAUUUAUUUAUAUAAAUAUUAAACUAUUAUUAAUGGCAUAUUGUUCUUUCGUGUUAGUGGAAAGUUCUGGCCACUGGCUCAUUCAUACACUGUAUGCAGGCUAUUUGAUAGUUUACAAGGAGUCAAAGAAGGACUUUUUGGAAACAAAAAAACCCAACAUUACCUGGAACCGUAGAUGAACGAACAGAUCUUCCUAGAAGUGUCAUACAGAAGCCAAUAUCCAACGUUGAAAAACAUCGGAAGAUACAGCGAGAAGCUUAAACCCGUUAGUCUCUUUCGGACAAAAUUAAAAGUAGAGGAAAUGGUCAUCGUCCUAUGCCGUUCCAGAAAAUUUAAAUGGCGCAAGAAGGCUUUCAGAUUGCGCCCUCCUCUCCAUCAAAAUAAAGGACUUACUCUGGUGUGUCCACAUCUCAUCCUUCGACGUAACGUACUGAUGAGUCAUUUAUGUCCUCUGCUUAACCUCAGUUUGUUUUCGGACUCGAGGAUUUUCCGUAACCUGAGCCAGAAGGAAGAAUAUGAACGAAUUUUCAUUGUAAGGUAUAUGUACUUAAACUGGGCAGGAUUCAUGAUGUCAGUAUAACGAGAUCGUUAAAAGUAAGGAUACGAAAAAUUGGGAAUUUAGGAGUGACUAAUGUAAUCACUUUUUUCGAAAGAGCAAG